UCGGGAAUUUUGGGCAAUGGGCGAAAGCCUGACCCAGCAACGCCGCGUGAAGGAUGAAGUAUUUCGGUAUGUAAACUUCGAAAGAAUAGGAAGAAUAAAUGACGGUACUAUUUAUAAGGUCCGGCUAACUACGUGCCAGCAGCCGCGGUAAUACGUAGGGACCAAGCGUUGUUCGGAUUUACUGGGCGUAAAGGGCGCGUAGGCGGCAAUUCAAGUCAUCUGUGAAAUCUCCGGGCUUAACUCGGAACGGUCAGAUGAUACUGCUUUGCUAGAGUGCAGAAGGGGCAAUCGGAAUUCUUGGUGUAGCGGUGAAAUGCGUAGAUAUCAAGAGGAACACCUGAGGUGAAGACGGGUUGCUGGGCUGACACUGACGCUGAGGCGCGAAAGCCAGGGGAGCAAACGGGAUUAGAUACCCUUGUAGUCCCUGAGCGGGCUGGCAAGGCGCAU
rnacentral:rRNA from 1 species